rnacentral:rRNA from 1 species
AUUGAACGCUGGCGGCAGGCCUAACACAUGCAAGUCGAACGGUAACAGGGAUCAGCUUGCUGAUUCGCUGACGAGUGGCGGACGGGUGAGUAAUGUCUGGGAAACUGCCUGAUGGAGGGGGAUAACUACUGGAAACGGUAGCUAAUACCGCAUAACGUCGCAAGACCAAAGAGGGGGACCUUCGGGCCUCUUGCCAUCGGAUGUGCCCAGAUGGGAUUAGCUAGUAGGUGGGGUAACGGCUCACCUAGGCGACGAUCCCUAGCUGGUCUGAGAGGAUGACCAGCCACACUGGAACUGAGACACGGUCCAGACUCCUACGGGAGGCAGCAGUGGGGAAUAUUGCACAAUGGGCGCAAGCCUGAUGCAGCCAUGCCGCGUAUGAAGAAGGCCUUCGGGUUGUAAAGUACUUUCAGCGGGGAGGAAGGGAGUAAAGUUAAUACCUUGGCUCAUUGACGUUACCCGCAGAAGAAGCACCGGCUAACUCCGUG